CGCAAUCAGACACUUAUCCCCUAUCCUGCGAAUAGGGGAUAAGUGUCUUACACUGUAGAUCUUCUUUAAUGAGUCAACCAUUUUUUUUUUUUUUUUAUUACAAUUUAAAAGUUGCUUCAUUUUCUAACUGCUUUUGUGUCUUCCUUGCAAGAAUCUAGUUUUUUUUUUAGAAUUCUUUUCCUGUAGAGCAAGAAUAUUUGAUGCGGCCUGUUGGCCCUGGAGGACACCAUUACCCAAGAGUGAGACGACCAUCUGCCCAGACUGGAAGGAGUUACGAUGAGCCGGUGUUCCUUAUCUUCCCUGGCUGGAAUUGUGGACCUGUGCUUUUGCCACUGCCUCAAAUAUGUAAAGUUUAUCAUCAACACAAGAAGAAUAAUGACUAAGGUUACCAAAUGUCGGCCCCAACUGGGAGGAGCUGCUAUUGGAAAGUUAAGUAUCUAUAUUCAUCACUUAUGCUAUGUCUUUGUUCUAUAACGCUAUCUUUAUACUUCAUCCAGAAGGUGUUCAUUAUUUACCGUGUCUGUUUUUUCCCAGUGCUAUUGUGAUAACCAUUAUGGUCAGCCCCAUCUCUAGUACCGGCAGGUUAGGUAGUCGCUACCUAUGCAUGACUUGUUGCAUUGCUAACUUGGGGGAGUUAUCAAUGUGGCACCAUGUGUAGAUAGCCAUAAUAACUAGUUUAACCUAAAGAAUCAGUUAGUAAUUCAGUAAAUUAGCCAUCUAUUGUAAUAAAUCUUUGCAAAAUGGCAGUUUACCGUAUAAUUCUAUGGUGAAUGUAAGCUCCA